AUCUAAGUACCCCGAGGAAAAGAAAUCAACCGAGAUUCCCCCAGUAGCGGCGAGCGAACGGGGAGGAGCCCAGAGCCUGAAUCAGUGUGUGUGUUAGUGGAAGCGUCUGGAAAGGCGCGCGAUACAGGGUGACAGCCCCGUACACAAAAAUGCACAUAUUGUGAGCUCGAUGAGUAGGGCGGGACACGUGGUAUCCUGUCUGAAUAUGGGGGGACCAUCCUCCAAGGCUAAAUACUCCUGACUGACCGAUAGUGAACCAGUACCGUGAGGGAAAGGCGAAAAGAACCCCGGCGAGGGGAGUGAAAAAGAACCUGAAACCGUGUACGUACAAGCAGUGGGAGCCUCUUAAUGGGGUGACUGCGUACCUUUUGUAUAAUGGGUCAGCGACUUAUAUUCUGUAGCAAGGUUAACCGAAUAGGGGAGCCGAAGGGAAACCGAGUCUUAACUGGGCGUUAAGUUGCAGGGUAUAGACCCGAAACCCGGUGAUCUAGCCAUGGGCAGGUUGAAGGUUGGGUAACACUAACUGGAGGACCGAACCGACUAAUGUUGAAAAAUUAGCGGAUGACUUGUGGCUGGGGGUGAAAGGCCAAUCAAACCGGGAGAUAGCUGGUUCUCCCCGAAAGCUAUUUAGGUAGCGCCUCGUGAAUUCAUCUCCGGGGGUAGAGCACUGUUUCGGCAAGGGGGUCAUCCCGACUUACCAACCCGAUGCAAACUGCGAAUACCGGAGAAUGUUAUCACGGGAGACACACGGCGGGUGCUAACGUCCGUCGUGAAGAGGGAAACAACCCAGACCGCCAGCUAAGGUCCCAAAGUCAUGGUUAAGUGGGAAACGAUGUGGGAAGGCCCAGACAGCCAGGAUGUUGGCUUAGAAGCAGCCAUCAUUUAAAGAAAGCGUAAUAGCUCACUGGUCGAGUCGGCCUGCGCGGAAGAUGUAACGGGGCUAAACCAUGCACCGAAGCUGCGGCAGCGACACUAUGUGUUGUUGGGUAGGGGAGCG
rnacentral:rRNA from 1 species